AGCUGACUUUGCUUUGUUCUUUGAAGGGCUCAUUCAGGUUUAGCAGCUGUGCCUUAAGUGCCCUAAUCUUCAAAACCUUCUAAAAGAAACAUCCAGCAGAGAAGUCUUUAGGGGAGUCAGUCAAAUUGGAAUAAAGAGCCACAACUGCUCCGGGAUAAUCGUUUUGAUAUCUGUUGUCAAGCCUCUGAAUAUCAAAAAGGAAAGCUCUUCAGAGAAUCAUGUCCCAUCUUGGUUGGACUCCCUCCUUAGUUAUUAUUUUAGGGUUCGACGGAAAUAGGAAGAUUGGCUGUUGAUGAGAAAUGAAUAGAAAAUUGAUCUACGAGAUUCCCGCUUCUUCUUGACUGUGGUGACUUGCAACAUCCUAGCAGCCAUAUCAGGAGGAAAAUGAGCAGGGCUCCUGCCACUAUGCCUGUCACUGCUCCUGCCACCAUGCCAAUGCUCUGCACAUCUGUUUCCUCGGAAGCACAGACAGAAGUACCGUCAAACAUAAGCUCGGAGAUGCGUGCACACCCAGGACAGAAGCCUGGACAGGAUGGCUUCCAGACCACACUCAGCAACCCUCGCAUGCCGUGACUGUGCCUUUCCAUAUUCUUGCAAGCUGAAGUUACUGAACCACUUUACUGGUUUGCUUAGAUUUUAGUGACUAUGUCUGUCUCUGUUCACAUGAUAAAACAGGCUGGGAAAGUUAUUGUGUCAUGUAAAGAAAAAUUCAACCUUCAUAGAAUCCUUCUGGGCAGUCUUCUAGCUCUGCCCCUCUUUAUCUAACUGCCCCUCUCUACCGGUAAAAUAAAAUAGAAUAUAGCCCACAGCAUAUAAUUC
ensembl:processed_transcript Gm16096 predicted gene 16096